UUUUUGAGGACAUGACGUAGUGGGAUUGUGUCUUACUGUUAAUGCGAUAAUUGUGAGUUCGAUUCUCACUUGGAGAA
rnacentral:tRNA from 1 species